CACACCUCAUAACCAAAGCUAGCUUAUGAAAACGUAACCCAACUCAUUGCCAGAAGUUGUUGCUAAUUAGUGAAUAAUAAACUUCUGUAGCCAGGGCACAAAAGUCUUUUAAAAGUGCAAAGGUGUUCUUUGUAUUGCAUCAGAAAAGAGAUUAGCAUAUCAAUUGAACUGAAGGGACUGGAAAAUAAGCCCUCCUCCUACUGGGCUGCUCUGGGUUCUCAGCCUUCCUUCCCCCUCUUCCACUUUCUAACCUUCCUCCCCCCUCCUCCUCCUCCUCACCCUCCUCCUCCUUUUCUUCCUCCUCCGCUCCUUCCUUUUCCUUCUCCUUUUCGAUCUCGAUCUCUUCCUCUCCCCGCUUCCCGCGGGGUCGAGACACCCUUGGGGUACACUGAGCUCCUGUUAGCGACCGAGACUGUAGAAUCAGUGCGCACACUAGGCCACAGGGGCGGCGCAGCGCCCAGGCUUUAGUAGCGCUAAGAAAUAUGUGAAAGCGCGAGGAUGCCAGGAGAAGGAGCCGACACAGAGGAAUCGAAUGUAUGGACCAGGGCAGGGGUGAAGGGAGACUCGAGCUACCCCAUCCAUCGGACGCCCCUCCUGGGAGGCUGGCCCCGGUCCUACUCUCUAGGCCUACCUAGGGCGCGCAAAGCUCCCAGACAACGGUUCCCAUUGUGGGCCACAGGCCACUGCUAGCUUCCGAAGCUCCCGCGGCCUUCCUAUCCUGCCCGAGCAGCUGCCCUGCCUCGUUUGCACGUGCUGAAAGGCGGGGAGAGUUUGGGGGAAGCCGAAGACACCAUGCGGGAAGCGGCCACGUACUCGCAGAGCCCUAGUCUCCUUGGCUAGUCCCGGGGCGAGGUAUUCGCCUACUGCCCAGGCGGGGGUCGCCGACGCCAGGAAUCUGGAGAGGCCGAGGCCGGAUCAGGCCUUGUCCAAUCUCCGCGAUACCUCACCUGGACCCAGCCGGUCCCCUGUCCCACCAGAGAAAGUCAACGGCUUGCCCGAGCCAGCUGGGAGACAGCUCAGCAGAAGGAGGUCCCAGGCGGGGCCGCCCUGGCCUCCGGGCGUCGGUUCUCAGUCCCCUACGUCCCCUAAUCCCCCCAAGGUCCCGAGCCCUUGGCUGCCCCGGAGGGCCCCCUGCCAGGGGUUGGGGGGCCUGUGGGACCAGGAGAGCAGAGGAGCUGGCCACAGCGCUCGGAACCGAGCUGGAACGGCAGGCCAAAGAAAACUGGCUGGCGGUCACUCGGCGGUGCCUUCCGCUGCCGAGUGGGACCCGCCACCUCACAGUCCGCGGAAGGAACGGGUGCCUGGCCUCGGCCGCUGAGCCCACCCCAGGCUACCCAGCCAAGCAGUCGCUUUUCUCUCCCGUCCCCUCCCCCUUCUCCCCAGAGGCAGCUUCCGUUCUCUAAAACAUUAAGAAUAAGGAGAAGGAGGAGGAAGAAGAGGAGAAGGAGGAGGAGGAUAAAGGGGGAAGAAAAAAGAGAAACGAGAAACGAAAGAAAAAGGAAGAAAAAGGGGAAAUCGCUGGGGCUCUUUUUCCCUCUCACUGGUCUAGUUCCCGUUAGACGCUGGUGUUCCGCAAACAAGCGCCAAACUCACACAAGUUUUUCCCCCGAAAACCAUCCACUUUAACUGCGGUGAGGGAAAAUGCAGAGAGAAAAAGUGAAGGUCAGUGUUUCCCUAAAUGGAAAACAUCAGAGAGGGUUUGAAAAGAGCUUUGCGUUCCUUGCGAAAUCUCCAUUGUUACUUGUCGAACAAUGGGAGCCUGGGCGACUGCAGGGCUGUGAGAAUGAAUAGGCGAUCUGCGGGACCUGUGCGGGUCAGUGCUUGCGGUCCUGGGCCUAAAGCCGCUUUCUCAGCUUGCCACAAUAAACCAGAGCAAAGUUCAAUCUUUACUGGGUCACCGGCCAUCCUUUAUUAUUCAACACUUCACAACAAAAAAACACUUAUUAAUCAGCGCUGACCAGAGGCCCCUUUUGAAACAAGGGGGUUGGGGUGGGGGCGGUGGGAGAGGUGAAAAGAAGAUUGAGAACCCUGGGACAGAUCUUUCUAAAGCCGGAGCAACCGUAGAGUCCUACCUCCGAUGGCUAAAGUUUCUUUGACACAACAAAGUUUUAAAAUCAGACUAGAGAGACUUGCAUUUCUCAUUUGACUUGUUCCCGUCUCUUCUGAAGACUUUCAAGACUUUGUUGCAAGGAAGGAUGGCUUUAGGUCAAAUUGCUAAGGCCUGAUCUUAAAGAUCUAAUUGCUAUUGGAAGAAAAGGCUGUUUCUCAGCUGGGCCUCCACUCGAGAUGGUGCAAGGAAGACUGUCCACUCUGCUGUGGGCACCCUGCUGAUGGAUGAGGUGUCAGGCCAGUCAUCAUGUGAGCACUGGCUUCCAAAUGAAAAUUGGAAAUCAAUGAACCUCAAGAUCCAGCUAUACCACUCUUGGGCUCUCUACUGCCCUGACUUACAAUGUGGCACUGGAUUUACGGCAGUCCUUCUGCUUCAGCCUCCCAAGUACUGAAACUACAGGCACAUGCAGUUCCACCAAAUAAAGCUGCAGUUUUCCCACUGGAUACUUACAUUUGACAAAAUGAAACCAGAUCAUUGACUUCUCUUCUUGUAUUUUUAAUUAUUUAUUUUCUUUUUAAUUUUUUAUGGCAAUUAAUAUUAAACCUAAAGCCUUGUGCUUAACAGAUCAGUGUUUAACCAAUAGGUUGUAACCUCAAACUUUGAACUUUGGUUUCAAUAUGCUCCUUGGCCCAUGCUACUGUUGGAUUUACCCUGUAACCAAGGGAAGCUUUGAACUGGGGAUCCUCCUCUCAUGAAACUGGUAUUAUGGGUCUGUAUUACUAGAUCUUGUUUUAUUUAAUGUCAGUUUUUGUUAAUUAUUAUUAUUAUUAUUAUUAUGCUUUGUAUUAACUAUAGUUAAAGAAUCUAAAUUUUUGUAGAAGCUUGAGAAGUCUAUUUUAGAAGGUUUAAAUUUUACAGUAAAGUAAAAGAAAACUUUCUUUUUUUCUGAGGGUUGCUAAGGCAACAUAAAAAUAUAUUGAAUUAAAACUUGAUCCCCUCCAGGUCUUUCUGUCUCUCAUUAGAUUCCCUUCACUCUGCCCAAAGUUUGGCUAUGAGCCUUAGUAUUUCCUUUGGUACCCUGGUGGGUAGAGCCUUUCAGAGGUCCCCUGUGGAAGGCUCCUGUCCUGUUCCUUGUCUUCUCCUACUUGCAAUGUCUCUCCUUGCAGCCUUGCCAGGCCACAGAGGAAGAUGAUGCAGCCAGCCUUGGUGAGAUCUGAUAGAAUAGGGUCAGAUUGAAGAGGAGGUGAUCCUCUCCUUCAGGGGACUAGGAAAAGGACAUUGGGGGAGAAAAGGUAGGGUGGAUUGGACUAGGGAGAGACAAAAUAGGAAGCUACAGUGGAUGUACAAACUGAAUAAAUUGUAAUAAAUUAGUAAAAUAAUUAAUUGAUUAAUUAAAAAAUCUUGAUUCAUGAGUAAGGGGAGCAGCGGCUGCCUCAUUCAGAAACUUGGUCACCUGCUCUUUGAUUACUUGCCCCUGAUGAUGUGGCUUUACCAGGCCACUGAGAAAGAGGAUCCAGACAGUACUGAUAAGACUUGAUAAGCUAUGGGUAGAUGGCAAAGGAGACUUUCCCCUAUCAGUGGAGUACGGAUAGAGGAGUGGGGGGCAAGAAAGAAGGAGGGUGGGACUGGGAGGAGUUGAGGGAGUGGGUUUCACUCACGAUAUAUAACAAAUAAAUUGUGAAAAAAAUUAAAAUUAAAAAAACUGGCAAAUAACUAUGUUUGUCACCUUUCUAUUGGCAAGUAGCUUGGUACCAGAUGGGAUUCCAUAAAUAAAUACUAUGGUUUGCCAUCUCCAAAGAAAGAUUUACGUUAUUCCAAAAAAUAAAAUACAUAGAAAUAAGGCAAAAAGAUAUAUUUUGUUUUAUAAAGUCAACUAAAAUUUACUAUAUUACUAAAAAAUGAGUUUGAAAGAAAGGUUUAAGAAGCCACCCUAUACGACUUUAGGGUGUCUCAAAGAGAUUGGGAGGGGACUAGGGUGAGAAUGUGCCUGGUAUAACAGCAUUCUUUAAUGGAUCAGGAUCAAAACUACAAACUAAAUAAAAGCAAAGAAGAUGCUGGAGGCAAGCUUGGGGAUUCAUUGACUUUCUAUGUUCUCUUAAUAGUGUCACCAGAGCAAUAGGCCCAAUCUGGGUGCUCAUUGUCAGGCAGGGGACAGAUAGGUGGUGGGGUUAGGAGGAGAUAGUUUGGAUCUGGAUUGUUCUAUGAAGGGUUAUGUGCCUAAGGACUGGUUCAAAUGCAGCAGUGUAGAGGUGGUAAUGUGUCAUAAGGGCUCAGGUGUUAUCAGUGUUAUGGACCAUCACUUGAUGGACUGUUUGGGAGUGGUGAAACUUUAAGAGAUGAAACCUGGUUGAAGGGAAUGGUAUCUGGUUACAGGUACUUGAGUUGUAUACUUGGUGAUUAUCUCUUGUCUCUGAGCCUCCCCACUCUCUGCCUCUUAGAUGUUAGCAGCUUUGACUCACCAUUAUGUUCUUUUCUGUGUGAGGCCAGCAGAGAUGGAGACAAGUAGUCAUAGCCUGAAAUCUUGAAACCGUCUUUAAAAAUAAACCAUUGCUAUACUGAGUUGAUUUAACUCAAGUAUUUUGUCAUAAGGAAGAAAAGAGGUAUGAAACUGAUCUUUGUAUAGAUGCACUUUGCUUUUAAAGAUUGCUAUAACACUUGGUGUAUACUGUUCCUUUUCCUGUCCUCAAGACACAGAGGUGGAAGUGGGGGGUAAUAGUCACUCCUGCUUCCUUUGCUGUUUUCACUUAUACAUUCUUGCUUUAGAACUUACUGCAUUUCAAAGAUCCUACAGUUUAAUGAUAACAAAGUUAUCUUACUUCUAUUGCUAUCAUCUUGAAUUUUUCUCAUGGACUAUGUCCUUGAUCUUAAAAAGUGGGCUGGUCAUUUCAGACUGUAGUGUUCAUCUUAUAGGUAUAGCUGUAACUGAUUAUAACACUGUUACUAUUUUGUACAAUCAAUAACAUGUGACUAGAGGGGUCAGAAAGGGAAAAUGAAUACCUCCCUGGAAUUAGUUGGUAAUGGCUUAGAUACUUAUCUUCGAAAAAAAGCUAAAUUUAUGCCCUGGUCUUAGUACAUUAAACUUCACAAAGAGACGUAUUCCUACUCCCUUUGGUUGUAUCUCCAUUGGCAUGUGCAGGGCUCAGUGUUAGUCUUUAAGACUGGAGAAAUGUGUGAGGCCAUAAAUUACUACAUGGCAUUUUUCUCCUAAGAUGCCAUGAAGAUAUUUGCCUUUGUAGUUUUUCUUUUCAGUGACCUAGGAAUUGCAAGAUCUAACCAUAUACAUUCUGACCUUAUUGUCUAAUUUCUUUUGAAAGAUAAAUUAAUUUUUAUUUACUAAUAUUAAUAAUAUUUUGCAUUUUUAUCAUUUCUUCUUUGUAAUUUUUUUUCUGAUAUUACUUGAUGCCACGUUCUCUGGUUUUGUUUCUACCUCUCAGGUUACUUCUGUCAAGUCUCAUUUUACUACCAAA